rnacentral:rRNA from 1 species
CUCUUGAGAGCGGCGGACGGGUGAGUAAUACCUAGGAAUCUGCCUGGUAGUGGGGGAUAACGUUCGGAAACGGACGCUAAUACCGCAUACGUCCUACGGGAGAAAGCAGGGGACCUUCGGGCCUUGCGCUAUCAGAUGAGCCUAGGUCGGAUUAGCUAGUUGGUGAGGUAAUGGCUCACCAAGGCUACGAUCCGUAACUGGUCUGAGAGGAUGAUCAGUCACACUGGAACUGAGACACGGUCCAGACUCCUACGGGAGGCAGCAGUGGGGAAUAUUGGACAAUGGGCGAAAGCCUGAUCCAGCCAUGCCGCGUGUGUGAAGAAGGUCUUCGGAUUGUAAAGCACUUUAAGUUGGGAGGAAGGGCAUUAACCUAAUACGUUAGUGUCUUGACGUUACCGACAGAAUAAGCACCGGCUAACUCUGUGC